UCCCUCUCCUCUGAGGUCACAAUGCUGCUCCCUCAUCAUGUGCUUGAGUGCCCGGGGGAGCCCAGCCCCCGUCCCUGGGGUCUCUCUCACCCUUCCACCCCACCCAAGGAACAGUCAUGUCGCGGGCCCAUGACACCUAGCAGUAUUUGAAGUUUCUCUCAGUGAACAGAAUGUGUCUAAAAAUACCACAAGGAGUGUAUGGGACUCGGACCAGAUCAUUUAUCACCCGAUGUCUCUGGGAACAGGACACUGGUAACCCCCGUGGGGUUGGGACAUGAGUUCAGAGUAGUGUUGAAACUGGAUCGACUGUGGACUCCACAGAUCUUCGUCUUUCCAGGACCCAGGUUGGAGGGACAGCCUCUCUCUAAGGAGAUGCCACUCUUAUGACAGAGAAUAAAGUGCAAUGGGAGAGCUACAAGAUCACUCUGAAAGCUCCGCUUGGAUGGGA